GAUGAAGAACGUAGCGAAAUGCGAUAAGUAAUGUGAAUUGCAGAAUUCAGUGAAUCAUCGAAUCUUUGAACGCACCUUGCGCCCUUUGGCUAUUCCAGAGGGCAUGCCUGUUUGAGUAUCAUGAACACCUCAACUCUCAUGGUUCUGCCAUGAUGAGCUUGGACUUUGGAGGUCUUGCUGGCCCCUGUGGUCAGCUCCUCUCAAAUGGAUCAGCUUGCCAGUGUUUGGUGGCAUCACAGGUGUGAUAACUAUCUACGCUUGUGGUUUUCCACCAGGUAACCUUCAGUGAUGGAGGUUCGCUGGAGCUCAUAAACGUCUCUCCUCAGCGAGGACAGCUUCUUGAAUGUUUGAUCUCAAAUCAGGUAGGGCUACCCGCUGAACUUAAGCAUAUCAAAGCGGAGGA
rnacentral:misc_RNA from 1 species